rnacentral:rRNA from 1 species
GAUGAACGCUGGCGGCGUGCUUAACACAUGCAAGUCGAACGGGAAACAUUUUAUUGAAGCUUCGGCAGAUUUAGCUUGUUUCUAGUGGCGGACGGGUGAGUAACGCGUGGGUAACCUGCCUUAUACUGGGGGAUAACAGCCAGAAAUGACUGCUAAUACCGCAUAAGCGCACAGAACCGCAUGGUUCCGUGUGAAAAACUCCGGUGGUAUAAGAUGGACCCGCGUUGGAUUAGCUAGUUGGCAGGGCAGCGGCCUACCAAGGCGACGAUCCAUAGCCGGCCUGAGAGGGUGAACGGCCACAUUGGGACUGAGACACGGCCCAGACUCCUACGGGAGGCAGCAGUGGGGAAUAUUGCACAAUGGGGGAAACCCUGAUGCAGCGACGCCGCGUGAAGGAAGAAGUAUCUCGGUAUGUAAACUUCUAUCAGCAGG